rnacentral:rRNA from 1 species
UACGGAGGGUGCAAGCGUUAUCCGGAUUCACUGGGUUUAAAGGGUGCGUAGGUGGGCAAGUAAGUCAGUGGUGAAAUCUCCGGGCUUAACCCGGAAACUGCCAUUGAUACUAUAGGUCUUGAAUUAUCUGGAGGUGAGCGGAAUAUGUCAUGUAGCGGUGAAAUGCUUAGAUAUGACAUAGAACACCAAUUGCGAAGGCAGCUCACUACGGAUUUAUUGACACUGAGGCACGAAAGCGUGGGGAUCAAACAGG